AGUGGACGGCGGUGGCGCAACCUACCCGGAGGAGGAGGGUGCCCUCCUCCUUCGACGACCUGCCACGAAGCCCGCCGGAACCCUAGCCUCUGAUUGUCACAUCUCCCCCGCCGCCCCCUUGCCGCGGCCGGAACCCUAGCUCCGGAGAAGUGGUUGCUGCAGGCGAGGAGAUCUCUGAGGCUAGCUUCGUCGCCUCACAGCUGCAGCAAGACCCUGAAUUGGGCAGUAUCGUGAAGGACAAGAAGUCACUAUGAUGACUGCUCGAGGGUCACCAAGGUUGAGCCUCCUCAAAAAAGCUGUCGAAAGGGAUAGAGCAUCACCUCCUACAAG